UGUCUAGUAUAAGCAAUCUAUACGGUGAAACUGCGAAUGGCUCAUUAAAUCAGUCAUAAUUUAUUUGAUAGUACCAUUCUACUUGGAUAACCGUGGUAAUUCUAGAGCUAAUACAUGCUAAAAACCCCGACUUCGGAAGGGGUGUAUUUAUUAGAUAAAAAACCAAUGCCCUUCGGGGCUCCUUGGUGAUUCAUGAUAACUUAACGAAUCGCAUGGCCUUGUGCCGGCGAUGGUUCAUUCAAAUUUCUGCCCUAUCAACUUUCGAUGGUAGGAUAGUGGCCUACCAUGGUUUCAACGGGUAACGGGGAAUUAGGGUUCUAUUCCGGAGAGGGAGCCUGAGAAACGGCUACCACAUCCAAGGAAGGCAGCAGGCGCGCAAAUUACCCAAUCCCGACACGGGGAGGUAGUGACAAUAAAUACUGAUGCAGAGCUCUUUUGGGUUUUGCAAUUGGAAUGAGUACAAUUUAAAUCCCUUAACGAGGAACAAUUGGAGGGCAAGUCUGGUGCCAGCAGCCGCGGUAAUUCCAGCUCCAAUAGCGUAUAUUAAAGUUGUUGCAGUUAAAAAGCUCGUAGUUGAACCUUGGGCCUGGCUGGCCGGUCCGCCUCACCGCGUGCACUGGUCCGGCCGGGCCUUUCCUUCUGGGGAGCCGCAUGCCCUUCACUGGGUGUGUCGGGGAACCAGGACUUUUACUUUGAAAAAAUUAGAGUGUUCAAAGCAGGCCUAUGCUCGAAUACAUUAGCAUGGAAUAAUAGAAUAGGACGUGUGGUUCUAUUUUGUUGGUUUCUAGGACCGCCGUAAUGAUUAAUAGGGAUAGUCGGGGGCAUCAGUAUUCAAUUGUCAGAGGUGAAAUUCUUGGAUUUAUUGAAGACUAACUACUGCGAAAGCAUUUGCCAAGGAUGUUUUCAUUAAUCAGUGAACGAAAGUUAGGGGAUCGAAGACGAUCAGAUACCGUCGUAGUCUUAACCAUAAACUAUGCCGA
rnacentral:rRNA from 1 species